AGCUUUAUAGUUUAAAUAAAAAUAUUAAUCUUGUAAAUUAAAGUUAAUUGAUAAUUUAAAGCUU
rnacentral:tRNA from 1 species